UGUCAAAAGUGUCUGUAGUAAUUUGUUUAUUUAACACAAUUAUUUAUACAUAAAUUUGAGUUAGCUAUCAAUUAAAUAUUUAUUUUAAAGGCUGUACUUCUAAUUAAAAUCUUUUUUUAGUUUAGCAAAAUGUAGUUAUUACAUAUGCAAAAUAUUCACUUUAAUAUUUCAAGAUUUUUAGAAUGCAUCCAAAAAAAUGUUAAUACAAAUUGAACAAAUUAGUAACCAAAGAAAUACAUUUUUAAAACUAUUAAAGAACAAACCGAUCCUUUCCUGGCAUGUUUGAAAAGAUUUACUGAUUGGUUGGAAAAACAUGAGCUUGGCAAUAAACAUAGUUUUUCUAUUGUAGCUGAUAAUAUUUUUAAUAUGACAAGAUUUUAUAUGGACAUUGUAUUUAAAGUUCCUUUAUAUACAAUCUCAAUGGAAUGCUAACAUUUUUGAAUUUGGAUUUUGAAGGAAGUCCUCAUUAUGGAUAAGAUAAAUCAUCGAUAUGUUAAAAGUUGCUUGAAUAUGGUGCAUAUUUAGAUCAAAAUAAGAGAUAAUAUCAUUAAUAAAUCCCAUUCCAUUUGGAAUAGAUGUGUAAUAUUCAAUGACUUAAAUUAAAAAAAUUUUAAACUAUUUUUUGUUUUGCUACCUAAGGAUUCAUUAAUUUUAAGACAUGUUUACAAUAUUUUCUGUAAUGGAAUAUAUUAUCAUAAUAUAUUAAAAUUAUAAAUAAUAAAUUUAGACUUAAUUUUAAAAUUAUGACCUUGAUGAUAAAUCUUAGAACCCAACUUAAUAAUCCAAAAAUGAUACCUUUUUCUUUAUGUAAAACAUAAUAUUUUUUUGUGUAAGACUACUGUAUAUAUAUUUUUAAUUAUAUCAAACUUAUAAGAAACCAUAAUACUUGUGAUAAUUUAGAAUAAAAUUUUUAUUAUCAAUUAAAUGUAAUUCAACAAAAUAUAUUAUUAAAGUUGUAAUUAAUUGAAUAUUCACUUUAAAUAAACUUUGUUUUAUUUUUU